UACAGAGACUGCAAGCGUUAUUCGGAUUCACUGGGCGUAAAGGGUGCGCAGGCGGCCGUGUGUGUGAGGCGUGAAAACCUGGAGCUUAACUCCAGAAUUGCACCUCAAACUACAUGGCUAGAGCAUUGGAGAGGGUAGCAGAAUUCAUGGUGUAGCAGUGAAAUGCGUAGAUAUCAUGAGGAAUACCAGAGGCGAAGGCGGCUACCUGGACAAUUGCUGACGCUCAGGCACGAAAGCGUGGGGAGCAAAAGGG
rnacentral:rRNA from 1 species